GGCCCACCUCCCGGCAGGGCUGGUGCUGCCCUUCCGCGGCAAAACCACUGUCACCGGCCUUCUGGGUGCCUGCGUGAAGCUCUACAGGGAGCGCAGACAAAAUAGCCCAAGCGACCUCUUUACCUCCUCAGGGUCCGUGCCUGUCUCCCAGAAUUGCUGUCCAGCACUGAAGCAUCUGUACGAGCACUGGCUUUUAAAACCAGAGGUGCCAAAGGGAUUUGAGGAAUCCUGGGAUUUAAUAAUUAAAGCUGACACUAGGGUCCCUCCUGUCAGUUGCCUUUUGCCUGCAGCAGCACGUUUGAGGCAAAACAGUAGCAACAGCAGCAGUGGAUGCACCAAACAGACGGACAGAGCCCGCACGGACGGACGGAUGGACGCGUGCUCACGCCUCGCCAGGCUGUCAUGUCUCACCUCUUACGUAACAUUCAAGUGAGAUUUCUCACAGUGCUACCUUGGCAACAAACUAAAAAUAUCUAGGCAAGGUCUUGGUUUAAGCCUUCUUCUAAAAGCUUUAUCCGUGUGAUUAUCUGGCAGUCUGGUUUGUCUCCGGGAAGGGAAACGGCGGCAUUUGAGCUCAGGAUGAAGGGGAGAACCCACUUGGGAAACUUACCCCAACUGGUCUAAUCGUUUCUGAUUGCACAGUGAGGUGUGUUACCUACGGCCUCCGCUUUGUGUCCCUCGGAUUUAGGAUAAAGUGAGUGAGGAGUAGUUCAGGCUGACGAGUUGCUCUGUGUUUUCUUGAAGGGGAGAAAGAGGAGGGGGAUAUUUUUUGUAGCUCAGUGCAGAAACAUUCAUUUCAUACAGCAAGGUUCGGGGGGAAAUCUCUCGGGGACAUACUGAAUUAAAUAAAGAGAGGGUGAGUACAAAUGCACUUGCCACACUUGUAUACCUUAGCCGAAAAGAAAUAAUAAUUAUAAAAUAAACACAAGGUUACAUAAUGGGUCUGCCCCUCCUUCCCUUGCACACCCAAAACUCGCCGGAGCCAGCGGCAGCCCCGGGUGCUCAAGGCACUGCAGGUUCGGGCUCGGGGUGCUGCCGUCUCUCUGCGCUCCUGCUCUCAGUAAAGUGCUAGCGCGGGUGCGGGGGCCUGCCCUCCUUCCUUCUUUCCAUCGCCUCGCUUUGCCCCGCCUGCACCCCGAGCCCACCCGGGGCUCCCUGGCCGCAAGUGCAAGUUCUUAUGAACCCAUUGCAAAUAAGGUGCAACAUUUAAGUUACCUUAGAAAGAGA